rnacentral:tRNA from 1 species
GCCCUGGUGGUGGAAUUGGUAGACACAAGGGAUUUAAAAUACCUCGGCGUUCGCGCUGUGCCGGUUCAAGUCCGGCCCGGGGCACCA